rnacentral:rRNA from 1 species
GCAAGUCGAGCGAGAAACCGAUUUUCGAAGCCUCCGGGCCGAGAUGUUCGGCGGAAAGCGGCGGACGGGUGAGUAACGCGUAGGCAACCCGCCCCUCCCAGGGGGAUAGCCACCGGAAACGGUGAUUAAUACCCCAUGAACCCGCAGGCCCGCAUGGGCCUUUGGGCAAAGAUCCGUCGGGGAGGGACGGGCCUGCGUCUGAUUAGCUAGUUGGCGGGGUAACGGCCCACCAAGGCGACGAUCAGUAGCCGACCUGAGAGGGUAACCGGCCACACUGGGACCGAGACACGGCCCAGACUCCUACGGGAGGCAGCAGUGGGGAAUAUUGCACAAUGGGCGCAAGCCUGAUGCAGCAACGCCGCGUGAGCGAUGAAGGCCCUAUGGGUCGUAAAGCUCUGAUCUGAGGGAAGAAGAAAGUGACGGUACCUCAGGAGAAAGCCCCGGCUAACUACGUGCCAGCAGCCGCGGUAAUACGUAGGGGGCGAGCGUUAUCCGGAAUUAUUGGGCGUAAAGGGUGCGUAGGUGGCGUGCCAAGCGUGGGGUGAAAGGCCGCGGCUCAACCGCGGUGAGCCCCGCGAACUGGCAUGCUUGAGUGCAGGAGGGGAAAGCGGAACUCCCAGUGUAGCGGUGAAAUGCGUAGAUAUUGGGAAGAACACCGGCGGCGAAGGCGGCUUUCUGGACCGUAACUGACACUGAGGCACGAAAGCGUGGGGAGCAAACAGGAUUAGAUACCCUGGUAGUCCACGCCGUAACGAUGAGCGUAGUGCGGGCUACAGCCGUGCGGGUACGAUACGUCGUGG